GGCCCUGUGGUCUAGUGGCAACGACACUGCCCUUUCAAGGCAGUAAUGCAGAGUUCGAAUCUCGCCAGGGUCA
rnacentral:tRNA from 1 species